rnacentral:rRNA from 1 species
GGACUACCCGGGUAUCUAAUCCUGUUUGCUACCCACGCUUUCGUGCCUCAGUGUCAGUGUCUGUCCAGAAAGCCGCCUUCGCCACUGGUGUUCCUUCCGAUAUCUACGCAUUUCACCGCUACACCGGAAAUUCCACUUUCCUCUACAACACUCUAGCAUUACAGUAUCAAACGCAAUUCCCAAGUUAAGCUCGGGGAUUUCACAUCUGACUUAUAUCACCACCUACGCACCCUUUACGCCCAGUAAUUCCGAUUAACGCUCGCACCCUCUGUAUUACCGCGGCGGCUGGCAC